AUGUCAAAACUGAGCCAGAUCGAGUUCAAAUAUCCAAAACCAUUUCAGAAAUUUAACAUAAAAUCGAACCAGACCUUGUUGUACAUGACAUUACCAAACCGUGCCAAAACCGGUAUCAGUUCAAGAAAAAGAGGAAAAUUACAUAAACUAAUUCACACGUGCAGACUUGCUACAUCAAAGAUAUCAGGGAAAAUUCACAGCAUAACCAAAAUUUUGAAAACUGCUAACUAA